UACGUAGGGGGCGAGCGUUGUCCGGAUUUAUUGGGCGUAAAGAGCUCGUAGGCGGUUUGGCAAGUCGGGUGUGAAAACUCCGGGCUCAACUCGGAGACGCCACUCGAUACUGCCAUGACUUGAGUCCGGUAGGGGAGUGCGGAAUUCCUGGUGUAGCGGUGAAAUGCGCAGAUAUCAGGAGGAACACCGGUGGCGAAGGCGGCGAUCUGGGAAGAUACUGACGCUGAGGUGCGAAAGCGUGGGGAGCAAACAGG
rnacentral:rRNA from 1 species